GGGCGAAUGGUUUAGUGGUAUAAUACUCCCUUAGCAUCUCUUCUCUUUAAAAAGAGCCGGGUCGAAAUUGGGAGUGGUCCGGGGUUCGAUUCCCCGUUUGUCCA
rnacentral:tRNA from 1 species